AGUUGGACUGCUGGAUUAAAUGCUAAUUCUAUGUUUUAUAUUUUGAGGAACAUCCAUGCUGCUUUCCACAGCAACUGCACCAUUUUAUACUCCUAUCAGCAGU
rnacentral:pre_miRNA from 1 species